rnacentral:rRNA from 1 species
GGCGGGGCUGCUGGGUAUUCUACUUCCUCGUCGGUCGCGGUGGUUCGCUGGCGAGAAGGGGCAUAAAAUGGCGGGGCACGGUGAUCGCGGUCGGCUAGGGGUGCGCCGGCCGACGACGAAGAGGCCAGAGUACCGGCCGCUGGUUCUCCUCCGCCUCGCCCUCAGGGGCCGCGGCCGCGGCCGACGCCUCGCCCAGCGGCGGCGCCACCUCUGGCACCGCCGCGGGCCCCUCAAGGCCUUGCGCAUGGCCGCCGUCGACGACCGCGACAGGGCGGCUUAAGCGGAGGAGCCUGGGAAGCGGCUCCUCGAGGCCCUCGCGGCGGCGGGGCGCCCCCUCCUCCUCCUCGCCCGCGACCGCUGCGAGCGGCUGCGCGACCUCUUCCGCCAGCUCGACGAGUUCGAGCCGGCGCUCCCUUCGUCCUAGAGAAACCAAAAACUAUCCCUAUCUCAUUACUUAUAUAAAGUCCUUCAUCAACGAGUCAACCUUGUUCGAAACGUACUGAAAGGUAUGUUACUUGACCUAUAUAGACUACUUCAAUUUCUUGUCCAACUCAAUCACGUACGUGUCGAGUUUUCUCGUUUUCUUGCCCAACUAUACGGACUACUACUCAAGAUGUUGCUGGAUAAUAGAGACAUAUUGUUCUGGAUACUGGGUUCACGUCUUGACCGAUAGGAACUUUCCAACAGUCUUUUCGAUGUGGAGUACUGAUAGUGACUAGAGUGCGUUCUCAGUGAACGAGACGUACUCUACCACCGUAGACCACCACCGGUCCUAGGUCCUCUCGUGUAACUCUUUAACAGUUACGAUGACUUCUUUUAGUUCCUGAAACACGUUUGAUUGUUGGGACUCUACCCGGGAGGAUACCGAAGGUUUUAUUACCUAUGGUCGCCCCUGGUCUUUAGACAGUAGCAAGGACUACUUAAGGCAACAGGUUAAAGAGAGCUCGACUACUUUCUAGGACACUAUCAACGAUGACCGGUCUGUAUACUUGCCAGCACGUAGCUCUUUACCGAUCGUAGACCCGUAGUGUGAACGGGUUGAUGCGUCGUUUCCUACCGUUUGUGUUGUAACUGCGGUUUGAUACAGGAAUCUUCAGAGUAGAGGGUCACCACACUUUGGUUGCCUUAACUUCGCGGAUUCGCGAGUAGGGUCGGAUUGUUCGGUUACGGUUGUACGAGAAGAUCACUUGCACGAUUAUAACUACGAGACAAUAGGUUCAAUACGAGAGGUCUGGGACUCCUCGUCUCCAGUCGACGACGUCUCGAAGCGGAGGAGCGUUUCGCCUUGCGUGUGUUGGCUGAUACGUAACGACUCCGACCACGUUAAGGGAACGAUAACUCAGACAAUAGCAGUAGACUGAACGCCUGAGUCCUUGUGCGACAAUGACGUGAAGACUUGGAGAGGUAUGUGCUCCUGUUGUUCCGUUCGUAGUACAGGAGACCACGACACGGAUCACAACAGGUACACGACUUCUUACCGUCAUACCUCCGGGCCCUUUUACGACGUCGGUGGGAAAAAUCGGAGAGACACCAGCUACUUAUGUUUCAUUGCUAACCCCCUUGUCCCCGAUAGGGACGGGAACAUCACAACGAUUCACUCCCGUCGGUCGCCCCAUUCUUUCUGCGUCGUCGUCGGGAGAAGUUGAACACGUAAAUGGUUCCAUUGUUUCCGGCACGCUAUGCUCGACCGGAACACGGUGAGUAGUACCCAGAUCAUUGGUUGGGGUGUCCUCGAGAGUACCUGCUCCGAUACCGCUAUGAGAGUUAUGAUAGGUCGGUGGUUCUCCCCUUCCGUCGAUAGCCCCGUCGUCUCGGACAAGGACGCGAACAGCUCAACGAGCCUUCACCCAGUGGCUCUUUGUCUCUCUUACGACGUCGACACUACGACGUAGACACGUCGCCGCUCGUUGUCGAACACGUAAAUCGGGCACGCGUACUCACGCCCUAGUACCAAGGCAACGCCCUCGACCGUAACUUGCCGUGUCUUUCCCCUUUCUCCUUCCGUCACGUCAACGAGCUCGCCUACUCGUCUAAGUACCAAGUUGUUGUUCUCCUUGUCCUUAGAGUAAGAGCCGACGUCCGGCGGCGCCGUGUUCAAGAGGGAGUCCGGGGACUUGUCCAGGUUCUUUCGCUUUAGGGCCUAGUUAACCUUUCAGGCCGCAGAGUUAUGGGGUGCGACAAUACUUUUGUCACGGCUAUAACGGGAUGGAGAACCUGCACAAGUAGAUAACCUAUGAUCGCGUUCACCCUCAGUUAGUACGCUUGGCUCACUACAUUAAUACACUGUCCGGAGAUGACGGUCGGGUUAGAACUCCAUACAUGUCGAGAAGUUAGGUGUCAAAGACUAUAGUACAUCGGCGUCUUGUGUUCCAAGAGGUUUACAUCAUAUAGGAGUCACAUUAUCAUUACUACUAAAUACAUUUUCACUUCUAAAAUACCACCCAAAUUGAUCAUUUAUAAUAGUAGAGGAGCGUGACACAGUGUAAACGUACAUUAUACUAAAAUAUCGUACAUUAAAUAAAAUAGACUCUGUAAUAAACGUGUAUAUGGAUGCAAAAUAGAACC